rnacentral:lncRNA from 1 species
CUGCGUGGGAUUAUGAUCUUAUGCUUUCUAGAGUCUGUUCAUGCUCUUUGCUAUCAAAUUAACUUUUUCAUUUUUUUCGAGGAAACAUUGUUUUUUUCCAGUGCUUUAGGGAGAACCAUUUUAUUCUUAGUAAAACCCUGCCUCAGUGGAAGGCAAUUGAAGUGGGAGAUAAUUAUCUUGGGGCUGGUAUGGUCUGCAAAUGGUUCCAUAUGUUGUGUCUUGCUUCCAGGUUGACUUAUUUGGAGGUUCAAGAUAAUUGACCACCAAGUCUGGUUCUGGAGAAGUUGGGUUUCCACAUGCCUUACAGUACAAGUGUGGCAAUUCAGGAGGUGAUCUAGAAGCAAGGUGUCCUUGCUCACGGAAGAAUGACAGCGGGAGAGAAGAUCGAAAUCACUGCCCAGGUUAAUAAAGCAAUAUGUGAGAUGACAGUCCAAGUUAGAAACCAGCCAAAGCUUGGAACGUGCUUCCUUGGGGAUUUCAUGUUCAUAUCAAUGACUGAUUUGGAAUUCGGAUUUGCCUUUGAAUGUUGGAGAGCAUGGAAUCAUGCAAGGAUCAGCAGACAGAUCCUGGGUGGUGAUCGUGAUGUACAGCUACACAAAAGAAAUGAAUGUCUUUUUUUCCCCAAAAGAUGAUGUAUUACAAGAGUCACUACUAAAUCAGCAUCUACGUCAACCAAAUACAAUCUCUAAAAGAAAAACAAA